rnacentral:tRNA from 1 species
UCCCUGAUAGCUCAGUUUGGUAGAGCACUCGACUGUUAAUCGAGUUGUCACAGGUUCGAGUCCUGUUCGGGGAGCCA